GACGAACGCUGGCGGCGUGCCUAAUACAUGCAAGUAGAACGCUGAAGGAGGAGCUUGCUUCUCUGGAUGAGUUGCGAACGGGUGAGUAACGCGUAGGUAACCUGCCUGGUAGCGGGGGAUAACUAUUGGAAACGAUAGCUAAUACCGCAUAACAGUAGAUAUCGCAUGAUAUCUACUUGAAAGGUGCAAUUGCAUCACCACCAGAUGGACCUGCGUUGUAUUAGCUAGUUGGUGAGGUAACGGCUCACCAAGGCGACGAUACAUAGCCGACCUGAGAGGGGGAUCGGCCACACUGGGACUGAGACACGGCCCAGACUCCUACGGGAGGCAGCAGUAGGGAAUCUUCGGCAAUGGACGGAAGUCUGACCGAGCAACGCCGCGUGAGUGAAGAAGGUUUUCGGAUCGUAAAGCUCUGUUGUAAGAGAAGAACGAGUGUGAGAGUGGAAAGUUCACACUGUGACGGUAUCUUACCAGAAAGGGACGGCUAACUACGUG
rnacentral:rRNA from 1 species